rnacentral:tmRNA from 1 species
GGGGGCGAAUUUGGCUUCGACGGGGGUGCGAGAUCGCGGGAUGCAUGCCGAGCACCAUUAACUCGUUAAUCUGAUGGAACAUCCGUUAACUGCGGAUUCUCAGUACGCUCUCGCUGCUUAAUAAGCAGUGACGUUCGCCUUGACCUCGCCUGGUGGUUGAGGGCCGAACGCCAUUAAACAGGCUGGUGGCCGCGCGGCGCCUCGGCGCGUGGCUGCGAGAUGUUCCGGGGCUAAGGCCUGGCGGUACUUAGCCGUUUCCACACGUCGGGCCCGACAAUAACGAAGCGGACACGCAUGUAGAGUCCCACGACGACGCGCUUUCGGACGCGGGUUCGACUCCCGCCGCCUCCACCA